AGUGGUUAGCUUCUGCGAAGCUACGAAUCGAAGCCCCAGUAAACGGCGGCCGUAACUAUAACGGUCCUAAGGUAGCGAAAUUCCUUGUCGGGUAAGUUCCGACCCGCACGAAAGGCGUAACGAUUUGGGCACUGUCUCAACGAGAGACUCGGUGAAAUCAUAGUACCUGUGAAGAUGCAGGUUACCCGCGACAGGACGGAAAGACCCCGUGGAGCUUUACUGUAGCCUGAUAUUGAAAUUCGGCACAGCUUGUACAGGAUAGGUAGGAGCCUUUGAAACGUGAGC
rnacentral:rRNA from 1 species